rnacentral:rRNA from 1 species
GACGAACGCUGGCGGCGUGCUUAACACAUGCAAGUCGAACGGAAAGGCUCCAGCUUGCUGGAGUACUCGAGUGGCGAACGGGUGAGUAACACGUGGGUAAUCUGCCCUGCACUCUGGGAUAAGCCUGGGAAACUGGGUCUAAUACUGGAUAUGACCUUUCUCCUUAUGGGGUUUGGUGGAAAGUUUUUCGGUGUAGGAUGAGCCCGCGGCCUAUCAGCUUGUUGGUGGGGUGAUGGCCUACCAAGGCGACGACGGGUAGCCGGCCUGAGAGGGUGAUCGGCCACAUUGGGACUGAGAUACGGCCCAGACUCCUACGGGAGGCAGCAGUGGGGAAUAUUGCACAAUGGGCGGAAGCCUGAUGCAGCGACGCCGCGUGAGGGAUGACGGCCUUCGGGUUGUAAACCUCUUUCAGCAGGGACGAAGCGUAAGUGACGGUACCUGCAGAAGAAGCACCGGCUAACCAUGUG